rnacentral:rRNA from 1 species
AUACGGAGGUUGCGAGCGUUACUCGGAGUCACUGGGCGUAAAGCGUCCGUAGGCGGUCGGGUAAGUCGGGUGUGAAAGCCCCGGGCUCAACCUGGGAAGUGCACCCGAUACUGCUCGACUCGAGUGCGGGAGAGGAUGGCGGAAUUCCCGGUGUAGCGGUGAAAUGCGUAGAGAUCGGGAGGAACACCAGUGGCGAAGGCGGCCAUCUGGCCCGCAACUGACGCUGAGGGACGAAAGCGUGGGGAGCAAACAGGAGUAGAAACCCCAGUAGUCC